rnacentral:rRNA from 1 species
GACGAACGCUGGCGGCGUGCCUAAUACAUGCAAGUAGAACGCUGAAGAGAGGAGCUUGCUCUUCUUGGAUGAGUUGCGAACGGGUGAGUAACGCGUAGGUAACCUGCCUUGUAGCGGGGGAUAACUAUUGGAAACGAUAGCUAAUACCGCAUAACAAUGGAUGACACAUGUCAUUUAUUUGAAAGGGGCAAUUGCUCCACUACAAGAUGGACCUGCGUUGUAUUAGCUAGUAGGUGAGGUAAGGGCUAACCUAGGCGACGAUACAUAGCCGACCUGAGAGGGUGAUCUGCCACACUGGUACUGAGACACGGCCCAGACUCCUACGGGAGGCAGCAGUAGGGAAUCUCCGGCAAUGGGAGCAACCCUGACCGAGCAACGCCGCGUGAGUGAAGAAGGUUGUCGGGUCGUAAAGCUCUGUUGUAAGUCAAGGUCGGGUGUGAGAGUGGAAAGUUCACACUGUGACGGUAGCUUACCAGAAAGGGACGGCUAACUACGUG